GCAGAUCAAGAUUGUGUUGCAAUUAUGAGGGAAGAUCUAUAUUUAUCUCAUGAAAAGAAUCUGUACAGAAGCCACAGCUGUAUCUCUGCCUGGCACAGCAUUUCCAGCCUGCACUAAUGCUGUAGAACCUUCUGAUAGAAAUGGAAUGCUGAAAUUCACGUGUUUGCUAGAGCUGGGACUUCAAGAGAAAUAUCGAAUAACUUUGGUCACAGCAGAGAAGCACACAAAUGCAGUGCUAGAGGAGCAACUUCCACUUUCUUGUGAAGAAGGAGCGAUCUCUUUGAAAUUGUGUUGUGGCAGCCAUCAAAAGGUGCGAUAUGAAAUGUUUAUUCACAGGCAGAUCCCAGAUAUUAAAUGAAAUGAAACAUAUGUGAAUGCCUGUUUGUUUGUUAUUCCCCUGUUAAACCCUAAAGACAUUUUCCUAUCACUCUCUCUCAUUGGAUUAGCUGCUGAGUAGUAGACGUCUGUUUGAUGCAGCGUGUUAGCUUCAUUAGAUAAUAUUUCUCAUUAAGGAAAUAUCACAGAAUAAUUAAUUUGUAAAAAGACUGAACAUAUUGUUAAUAACAAUGCCUUGGAUUUGUGUGGUACCUUUCAUGUGGGAAUCUUGGAG
rnacentral:lncRNA from 1 species